rnacentral:lncRNA from 1 species
GCAAGUACACAACCAGGAGACACAUUCUUAAAAAGCAUGGCCCUCAGGAACCUUGGUCUCUUCAGUGGCUCCAGCUCUUGUGACAGAGCUCUAUCGGUUUAGGGGCAUGGAAGGGUGGCUUAAACCCAACAGAGGACCACAGCUCUGCAUCAGCAUUCUGCUUCUUACAGGCUUCAGUAAUGGGGAAGAGUAUAGCAGAACCCCAGAGACCAAUUUUCCACUUCCAUUUACCAAGCCAAAUAGGAAGGCUGUGUCACAAGGAUGCUUGUCUUUCAUGAAAAAGUCUAACCACCACACUAACUACCCUUGAGAAGGCCCUCCUGAGAAAUAAACUGCAUCUUCGUUGAUGACAACUCAUGGUCAAACUUUUGCAAUGUUCCUAACAUUGCGCAUGGAGCAGAGCCACAAAAGUGGUUUUUGAAUAAUUGAACAUGACUGAGUAACUCGUCUAUGAAUGUGGCAAGUGGGACCUCUACUGUGGCAGAAACCCUGAGGCCUGAUGGAUGGGCACAGUUUAUGGUUUGCUAUAAUCAGACCAGUUAGCUCUAUUUGAUCUCUUAAACUUCCAGAAUGCUGUUCAGAGUCACCCUGUGGGACUGUGCACAGCCUGCAGGACUGUAGCCAGAACAGGUCAAUUGCUGCUUUCGAGAUGCAGUGUCCUGGGAGUUGCACCAAGCAAAAGUCUUAAAUGAAGCACCAAGGGUGAUAAAACUUGUGGUGCACUCAGCAGACAGCUUGCCAGAAAUCUGUGUUCAGUCUCGAGGUCUUAUGAGAUAAUUCUGAACAGAAGUGAACAUAACACAGUAGUAACUGAUGACAGCCCUGGACUUCAGAAGGCAGAGCUCAUCCUGGCUCUAGCAUGAACUUUGACCUCUGAACAAAUUCCUUUAUCCAGGCUAAAUUUUCUCACUUUUACUGAAAGAAUCAAGAACUGAUGGUGUUAGAGGGUGAUUCAGGCUCCCAAGGUUUGCAGGCUAGAAUAUUUUGCUUUUGCAUGUGUGUUUUGCACGGUGAUGGCCUGUAUAGGCUCAUAUAUUUAAUGCUUGGUUCCCAGCCUGUGGAACUGUUUGGGAAGGACUUAGGAGGUAUGACCUUGUUGGAGGAUGUGUAUGACUGGGGAUGGGCUCUCAGGUUUCCAAAGCCCAUGCCAUCCCCAUCCCGCUUUCUCUGCCCCCUGCUCAUGGAUGUAAGCUCUCAGGUAUUUCUCCAGUGCCAUGGCUGCCUGCCUGCUGCCAUGUUCCCUACCAUGAAGGUCAUGGACUCUAAACCUCUGGAACCAGAACCCCAAUAAAUUCUUUCAUUUGUAAGUUGACUUGGCUAUGCUAGCUUUUCACAGCAAUAGAAAAACAAGACCCAAAGGCAAUCUCUCUCCUGUGUCAGUGGACUGAGGAAACUGCGCUAUUUGUCCUUUGGCUAGCUAAGUAUGCAAUAGGUAGCCAACUGAGCUAGAGGUUGCCUACUAUUGAGCAAGAGACAUUCUCUGUGCAAAACUAAAAGUAUAAGUCAAGUUGGGCAGCAUAAGCUAUAAUUUCUGCACCUGGAAGAUGAACACAGGACCAUCAAGUGUUUAAUGUCAUUGUCAGCUAUAUAGAAAGUUACACACCAGCCUGAAAUGUACAAGGUAUCUUUAAAACAAAACUAAAAUAAAACUGGAAAGUUU